CUGCGGAGGGAUCAUUACACAAAUAUGAAGGCGGGCUGGAAUCUCUCGGGGUNUACAGCCUUGCUGAAUUAUUCNACCCUUGUCUUUUGCGUACUUCUUGUUUCCUUGGUGGGUUCGCCCACCACUAGGACNAANACAUAAACCUUUUNGUAAUUGCAAUCAGCGUCAGUAACAAAUUAAUAAUUNACAACUUUCAACAACGGAUCUCUUGGUUCUGGCAUCGAUGAAGAACGCAGCGAAAUGCGAUAAGUAGUGUGAAUUGCAGAAUUCAGUGAAUCAUCGAAUCUUUGAACGCACAUUGCGCCCUUUGGUAUUCCAAAGGGCAUGCCUGUUCGAGCGUCAUUUGUACCCUCAAGCUUUGCUUGGUGUUGGGCGUCUUNGUCUCUAGCUUUGCUGGAGACUCGCCUUAAAGUAAUUGGCAGCCGGCCUACUGGUUUCGGAGCGCAGCACAAGUCGCACUCUCUAUCAGCNNAAAGGUCUAGCAUCCAUUAAGCCU
rnacentral:rRNA from 1 species